rnacentral:tRNA from 1 species
GGUUCCGUAGUGUAGUGGUCAUCACGUUUACUUCACACGCGAAAGGUCCCCGGUUCGAUCCCGGGCGGAACCA